GGGUCGAUCAUCUAGUGGUUAGGAUUUUUGUCUUACAAGCCACCCCUUGGAACACAAACAACCUGGGUUCGAACCCCAGUCAACCCA